UGAAACUUUUUUGCUGUUAGUUCACAGAGUCACAGGCUUCAGGGCACUGGACUGAGUAGAAUGAGGCCUGGGAGGCAGCUGCCUGCUGUGCAGGGUGUGUCUGAGGCUCCUUGAGCCCCAACAGAUCGAAAUUGGCGUCUCUGUGCCUCCUGGAUCCUCUCUGCUCACAGCGUUCCCGCAGCCUGACCCCACUGAACCCUCCAGUCUUGGGGAGCAGUGCCUCUCAGGUCCUGCCGCCCAGGUCCCAGCGUUCAGAAUGAGGAAGAACAGACUAGAAGGCAGAGGACAGCAGCUGUGGACAGGAAGGGGAAGUCCUGGAAAUGACAAGGCAGUCCUCGGGCUACGUAAGACUCAACGUACGUUGUCGUUUUUGUGGUUACGUCGCUAUCGCCCAUUUAUUUAUAAAAAGAAAAGUUCUGUCAUUUCAAUGUAUGUACAUAUGUGCUUUAUGUUUUUUAUUAUUCAUUUACCACAAAUAAAGAUCAGGAAUUGUUAUCUUUC